CACUGUAAAAACGAUAACUAGUAAUUGUUGAUUUGAGUAAAGUUUUCAAAUUAAACUGACUUAGAAAUAAAACUUUCCAUUUACAACCUAAAAUAGCUCGUCUGCCCAACAAAUUUCUUCCAUUGUUGUCCUAACUAAGAUUUUCUAGCGAGCAUAACAAAGAUUAUCAACUUUUGAGUAGAUUUUUUGAGUCGAGUUGGGAACCGGUGGGAAACCCCGUAGGUGACUGGCACACGUCGUGGUCUGAAUAAGUUUGAACUAGACCAAACGAGUCUGAGCAGACUGUGUGAUAGUGGUUUGUCGAUGUGUUCUGAACUGAAAACCUGCUAAGAAACUUUGAACAAACGUGGCCAAAGUUGGAUGAAACGACCAUUACGGAUUUUACCUGGUCUGAAGUUGGAGUGUAUUAUUUGACCAUUUUUUGGACAGGUGCGGGAGCUGCUGCCAUUUGCCCUAGCAGGCGGAGAGAGGUCGUGGAGUGUCAGCCUAUGGUAUCUGAGGUCCAGGAGAGAUGACCUGCGCUGUUUUCCUCUGAGGAGAUAUCUGAAAAUUUCAUCGGAUCACAAGCAAAGACCUCCUGGGGACCUUCAAUGCAUCCCUUGACAAAGUUGUGCCUGGCCUGCUGAAACUGUACUGGUCUAAGAAGGGAGCUCUUGGUGAGGAGAUGGAAGACCUCCUGGAUAAACUUGAUGAACAGGACACUGACAUUUUGGAACCAGUGUUGAACGGUGCAUCAGUUGCCAUCCUCACCAUCCUACAAGAUGACGAUGCUGAUAUGUCUGUGCGAGAACAUGCAGUUGUGUUGGAAGGGGACAUCGUGCUACAGAACAUUCCAGAUCUCUCUACUGCCCUGGCACACCUCUUUGGCCUUCUGUAUGCCCUCAACAUUGAUUAUCCAAAGCAGAUGAGUUUUACCUUUGAAGCAAUUCAGGCCAUCUUAUUUUGGCCUGGUCGGACAAUAUGAAGGUGAAGUGGAUAAAUCAUUAUUCGAAAUGUAAAUUUUAGUCAGAUGAAUCUGUAUUGUUGAGAAUAUAUGGUGAAAAUUUGUCUUGUAGUAUUUUAAAAGAUUUGUUAUAGUGUUAGUUUCCUCUUCAUUGAUGGUAACAUUUCUAAGAACUUUUAACUUCCAUAGUUCAUCAUAGUAAGCCUGUGUAAAAUGUCAAUGUCUGGGUGCAUAGGCAAUCGUUUGUAGCACUACCCUAUUUAAUGUGCAAUAGUUA